UACGUAGGGUGCAAGCGUUGUCCGGAAUUAUUGGGCGUAAAGAGCUCGUAGGCGGUUUGUCGCGUCUGCUGUGAAAACCCGAGGCUCAACCUCGGGCCUGCAGUGGGUACGGGCAGACUAGAGUGCGGUAGGGGAGAUUGGAAUUCCUGGUGUAGCGGUGGAAUGCGCAGAUAUCAGGAGGAACACCAAUGGUGAAGGCAGAUCUCUGGGCCGUAACUGACGCUGAGGAGCGAAAGCAUGGGGAGCGAACAGG
rnacentral:rRNA from 1 species